rnacentral:rRNA from 1 species
GAUGAACGCUGGCGGCGUGCCUAAUACAUGCAAGUCGAGCGAACGGACGAGAAGCUUGCUUUUCUGAUGUUAGCGGCGGACGGGUGAGUAACACGUGGAUACCCUACCUUUAAAACUGGAAUAACUUCGGAAAACCGGAGCUAAUCCCGGAAAAUAUUUUGAACCGCUGGGUUAAAAAGGAAAAAACGUUCUUGCUGUAACUAAUAAAGGAAUCCGCGCUGCAUUAGCUAGUUGGUAAGGUAACGGCUUACCAAGGCAACGAUGCAUAGCCGACCUGAGAGGGUGAUCGGCCACACUGGAACUGAGACACGGUCCAGACUCCUACGGGAGGCAGCAGUAGGGAAUCUUCCGCAAUGGGCGAAAGCCUGACGGAGCAACGCCGCGUGAGUGAUGAAGGUCUUCGGAUCGUAAAACUCUGUUAUUAGGGAAGAACAUAUGUGUAAGUAACUGUGCACAUCUUGACGGUACCUAAUCAGAAAGCCACGGCUAACUACGUG